rnacentral:lncRNA from 11 species
CUCUGACUCACUAUGUGACUCCUGCUCCCUGAUGGAUUUCAUUUUUGGGUUUGGAAUUCAGUUGUGUUGUGAUGGCACUGAAGACUCUUCUCCUAGCUGUGAGGUGCUAUUGUGAGUUUGCUGUUAUGGAGAAGGAGCAGGGCUGGGAUCUACUCUCCAGCUGUGAAGAUCACCACCGGGGGGUAGGCCUUCUUGCCAGAGCCAUGCUUCAAAGCACCUAUUAUCUUGACCUUCAGAGGAUCUUGUACCUCCUGGUUCCCUUCUUGGAGCGAGGGGAUGAAGAGCACCAGAUCACAGCCACAGCUUUCUUUGUUGAACUUCUUUGUAUGUCAGAGGCCAGAAGACUUCCAGAUAAAUAUUCCAUUUGCCGCCUGAAGCGAGGUCUCAUGCAUGAAAUCUCAGUGAUCAGGGCAUUGAGUAUCAAAGGGC